GAUGAACGCUGGCGGCGUGCUUAACACAUGCCAGUCGAACGGAAAGGCCCAAGCUUGCUUGGGUACUCGAGUGGCGAACGGGUGAGUAACACGUGGGUGAUCUGCCCUGCACUUCGGGAUAAGCCUGGGAAACUGGGUCUAAUACCGGAUAGGACCACAUUUUGGAUGGUGUGGUGGAAAGUUUUUCGGUGUGGGAUGAGCUCGCGGCCUAUCAGCUUGUUGGUGGGGUAAUGGCCUACCAAGGCGUCGACGGGUAGCCGGCCUGAGAGGGUGUACGGCCACAUUGGGACUGAGAUACGGCCCAGACUCCUACGGGAGGCAGCAGUGGGGAAUAUUGCACAAGGGGCGCAAGCCUGAUGCAGCGACGCCGCGUGGGGGAUGACGGCCUUCGGGUUGUAAACUCCUUUCGCUAGGGACGAAGCGUUUUUGUGACGGUACCUGGAGAAGAAGCACCGGCUAACUACGU
rnacentral:rRNA from 1 species